ensembl:lncRNA
AAACAAAUGAAGAAUAUCUGGGCCUGACAGCAUUAAAAAAAAGACAGAAGAGAGGCAUCUGACACUGCUGCUCGAUUCUCAGUGCUAGCAUGAAAACACCUGGUGAAGUACCUGAGAUGUUUCUUCAUCCAGUAUGCCACAGUUUUUUAUCUGAAUGAUGAAACUGCCACCUGAGGGCGAGAGAUCUUGUUGAGGCAGGAGCUUGAGAUGGGGAACCUGCUGACCAAGAUAAGGCAGUCUCCACAGGUGCCAGUCCCACCACGUUCAGGUCAAUGUGAAGCACCUGCACUGUAUUGAAGGCCCUCCUCACUCAGAUAGUACUGGCAAGUUUUAAAGCAUGUGUACGAUGUGCCAAGGAUCUUAUGAAGACAAACAAACUACAGGAAAACCAUCUCCAAACCAACCAAACUAUUCCUCUUACUGAAUUGGUAAAAAGAGAGGACGAUUGCAGUUGUCAUCCAACUAAAAAUGCCUAAAAGCACUCAGAUGCAGUCAUAUGCUGGAUAUGAUCUGUAUUUACAUGGAUAGUUUCAAAGUGCCAGCCAGGAGUGAAAAGAUACAAAUCUGUGUUCCUGACUCCCAGCUGUGGUUCUAGUACUCCUGGCCUUAGCCCAUCAAAUGAAGAUGUCCUUGCCUGUACAGAAAAUAUGGGAUGCUAAAAGCUUUCCUGAAAAGUCAUUGAUGACAGUUCAAAGAAAAAAUACACAGAUGCUGUAAGCA